rnacentral:lncRNA from 1 species
AAUGCAAUCCACUUAUGCAAUUCCUGUUACCACCCAAUCAAUUAGGCCAACUUGCCUAAGGUCUCAAAUCUCAAGGUCCUAGGCAAAGAGCUACCCCGCUCCUUGCCCGACUCGUAUCUCAUAGGUCCGACCCAAUCUCGAAAGUCCUAGGCAAAGAGCUACCCCGCUCCUCGCCCGACUCAAUCUCAAAGGUCCUAGGCAAAGAGCUACCCCGCUCCUUGCCCGACUCGUAUCUCAUAGGUCCGACCCAAUCUCGAAAGUCCUAGGCAAAGAGCUACCCCGCACCUCGCCCGACUCAAUCUCAAAGGUCCUAGGCAAAGAGCUACCCCGCUCCUUGCCCGACUCAAUCUCGCUCUACUAGGUACAAGCUGGCACAGAUAGAUAG